UAGCCCGGUUUAGUCGGGCUUAUCGAUUGUCCCCUGACUUUUAAUCAGUAGGUCUCGGGUUCGAACCCCGACGCGCUCACCA
rnacentral:tRNA from 1 species